GAGGCUUAGAAGUUCUUAAUGUUCUGGAUAAUAACAGCAAUGUUUGAACACGAUGUUCAAACAAGCCGCCACUGAGCCAUGGAUGGCGAAUUGGCGGCGGUUGCGUACGAUGAUAGUAUUGUAUAACAGAACAUUUAGAACUCCUUGGCC
rnacentral:ncRNA from 1 species